rnacentral:SRP_RNA from 1 species
CCGCGCUAAGCGGGGAGUUAGCGGUGCCCUGUACCUGCAAUCCGCUACAGCAGGGCCGAAUGCCUGGCCUGAGGCGUUCGUGUGUGGGGUCGGACCCCGGUAAGGAGCGUUGAGCGUCGGGUCCCGUGCAAUCGGACGCCGUGAACCAUGUCAGAUCCUGACGGAAGCAGCAUUAAGCGGACUGUCCGGUGUGCCGCGGGGCAACCUGAAAGGAGUCACCUGCCGGAUCAUCGCCCAUGCGCGGCCAGUCGAAAGCCGGGUGCGCG